UGCAUGCCUCUAGCAUGAAGUCAGAC
rnacentral:rRNA from 1 species